ACACUCCUGCGGGAGGCAGCAGUGGGGAAUUUUGGACAAUGGGCGAAAGCCUGAUCCAGCAAUGCCGCGUGAGUGAAGAAGGCCUUCGGGUUGUAAAGCUCUUUUGUCAGGGAAGAUACGGUGAAAGCUAAUAUCUUUUGCUAAUGACGGUACCUGAAGAAUAAGCACCGGCUAACUACGUGCCAGCAGCCGCGGUAAUACGUAGGGUGCAAGCGUUAAUCGGAAUUACUGGGCGUAAAGCGUGCGCAGGCGGUUUUGUAAGUCUGAUGUGAAAUCCCCGGGCUCAACCUGGGAAUUGCAUUGGAGACUGCAAGGCUAGAAUCUGGCAGAGGGGGGUAGAAUUCCACGUGUAGCAGUGAAAUGCGUAGAUAUGUGGAGGAACACCGAUGGCGAAGGCAGCCCCCUGGGUCAAGAUUGACGCUCAUGCACGAAAGCGUGGGGAGCAAACAGGAUUAGAUACCCUGGUAGUCCCA
rnacentral:rRNA from 1 species